AUAACUUAAUGUGUGGGAGGUUCCAAAUGACAGCAGUGACAGCAGAAGUGACACUCACUGUUACAGUCUGAAAAACUUUCUGCGCUCAUGAAGUCUCUUAGGAUUAUACGCAGAGCACUUUCAAGACAGGCAGACAGCAGCAAACCACCUGGGAGCAGCCUCUCUCUCCUGCAGACUGAGUGGAUCCCAGUCAAACUCUGACAGCCUCACGUGGAAGCGAGGAGACAGACCCUGAAAUGUUCUGCCACCUGUCACUCAAACUGACAACGUGAUGUGAAAAGAAUUAAAAGCAAAUAAUAAAAAAAAAAAAAAAUGAUAUCCAGCGUUAUACGUGCACAGUUUUCCUGAGUGUGAUAUGAGACUUUGUGCAAAUGUAUGUGUGCACCGUCUCAUUUCAGCUUUCACAGGCCUUUAAACGCCAUCGGGUUGACCUCAGUCUAACAGUUAAACACGGCGUGGAAGCUGUUUGUGCCAAAUAUUAGAAAGCAGUGACGCGUUCUCACAACUGACGCAACGGGGAUAAAUUCAACCCCGAUAUAAAACACAAUACGCUCAUAAAAAUGCAUCAGUGUGACAGAAGCUGCUCCGUGCAUAAAAACAGAUAACCAUAAGCUGCGAUCAGUGACAUCAUUAUUCUUUUGUUCCCACUCAUUUAUGGUCCUCUGGUGCAUUGAUGUGGUGUCUCCGCACUGCAUUUCUCACAGAUCAGCUGUCUAUCAAACAGUGUGGCCAGGACAUCUUCUCUGUUUGAGUUUCUGUGGGUGGCAAUCCUUUGUCUGCUUAGCCCCGGUGGCUAUCAUUGCUCAUGCUAACCAUCCAGUGAUUUGUCUUUUCCAUCACAUUAUGUGUCAAAGGAUGUUCUCUAGGAAAGAUGUACCAGCAAGUGCAAAAGCUUUCAGCAACUAAAUGUACAAUAAUAGUUUAACUGCAAUUGUGCUACAUAGAGGAACACAUACUAGCAACGCAAACGGUUAUUAUUAUAAAAUGUUCUUUAAUCUUAAAUGUAAUAUUAAAAUUAAGAGAAAACAUGUUGAAUAACUGAUGUUGAAAUCUCACUGUGGCAAUCCACAACAUCUGCCACCAGUGGACCUUGAGCAUUGAUCAUGUUGCUGUAGAACAGGUUCUGUAUCACACUGAGGUGCAAACUGACGAUGAUUAAAUCUGACAGAAACACACUAAAUUAGCCAAGAAUUCUCUGUGCCCUCUAUUAUAUAUUGUCAAAUACGGCAGCUUGGACAGUGGCGUUAUACGUCAAUCUAUGACGCUCUACAUGGACGUAUUUAUGUCGGGAGUAGUCAACGUAGACUUAUUUUAAGAAACGUAAUGUUACGUAACAGUUGCUUAAGUAACAUAGCAUGCUAAACUACGUUACGUAGGAUAUGUUAAGUUACAACAUUACUACAAAGUGUACGCAACAUAAGUACAUGUACAUGAUGUUUCCUAAACCUAACCAAGUUGUUUCCUCUGAAAUUUGGUAAAAAUUGGAAAUAAACAAGCAUGCAAAUCUGACGCUAGAUAGUUUGAACCAUAGGGCCGCUGACCAAGCUGCCGUAUUGAAAGAGAUGGGAGUGAGAAUGUGUUCAUGUCAAUAAGAGACAUUUAGGUUUCUUAUGUCCUGAAAAUAGGCACAAAUGCAAUUACAAGUGCAUUUAGCAUCAAACUGAACCGUACUGUUUGUGAGGGAAAUAAAUGUAAGAACCAGAUUAAAGGGGCACUCUACAGAUUUUACACACAAAGUUCAGUUUAUUACUCAUUAGGAGUAUUACUCAGCUUGUGAAAACAGAUGUAUAAUGUCCUCUGUGGCUCUGGAGGGAGCCCCCUCAAGUGUGAGAAAAUAAACCUCAUGACAUCAUUAGGGUUAUUGGGUCUAAUGAAAAAAUGCUAUCAAGUUGCAUUUUGGGAAUUGUAGGAUCCAGCAUUUUUGACAAAUCUUGACCAUACUAGGGAUUAAAAGUCAAGUAUAAUUUUGUAUUUUCUUUUCAUGUACCUCUUGUGAGCUCCCAAACUUUAUGAAAGUGCAUGAAAGUACUAAAUCUCUGGAGUAGCAAUUUCUAACUAAAAUUUAAAGUAAUAUUAGCCAUCAAAAGCUAAUGGUCAUACCAGACCAAGCAAGGCUGUAUUAGCAAAACUCCUGAGUGUAAUAAUGUGUUUUAUCACUUGUGGAUUCAAAAUUGUAUUAGUACGAGGAUGAAUGUAUUUUUUCUUCUUUGUAAAGUUUACACUUUUCUUUUUUUUUUACCAUUGGCCAUUCAAAUAUAUUGGUCAGGCUCAAGUUAGCACUUCUAACAAUAUAUUAUCAUCACUAAAUUAGAGGCCUAAAGGUUAAACAGCCAACGAAAGGUUCCUGCGUUAGUGUGUGUCUGUGCUUUUUCACACCUAUGCAUGUGUGCACAGUAGGUGCGGGGUUUUAUCUCCGAUACGGUGUGAAUGUGUGUGAGUGACUGAGCGCCUGUACAACCUGGA